rnacentral:rRNA from 1 species
UCGAGCGCGCUUUCGGGUGAGCGGCGAACGGGUUAGUAACGCGUGGGAAUAUGCCCUUCUCUACGGAAUAGCCUCGGGAAACUGAGAGUAAUACNGUAUACGCCCUUCGGGGGGAAGAUUUAUCGGAGAAGGAUUAGCCCGCGUUGGAUUAGGUAGUUGGUGGGGUAAAAGCCUACCAAGCCGACGAUCCAUAGCUGGUUUGAGAGGAUGAUCAGCAACACUGGGACUGAGACACGGCCCAGACUCCUACGGGAGGCAGCAGUGGGGAAUCUUAGACAAUGGGGGAAACCCUGAUCUAGCCAUGCCGCGUGAGUGACGAAGGCCUUAGGGUCGUAAAGCUCUUUCGCCAGGGAAGAUAAUGACUGUACCUGGUAAAGAAACCCCGGCUAACUCCGUGCCAGCAGCCGCGGUAAUACGGAGGGGGUUAGCGUUGUUCGGAAUUACUGGGCGUAAAGCGCACGUAGGCGGACUAUUAAGUUAGGGGUGAAAUCCCAGGGCUCAACCCUGGAACUGCCUCUAAUACUGGCAGUCUUGAGUUCGAGAGAGGUGAGUGGAAUUCCGAGUGUAGAGGUGAAAUUCGUAGAUAUUCGGAGGAACACCAGUGGCGAAGGCGGC